GAACCUUUACUAUAGCUUUGCACUGGACUUUGAAUAUUUAUGUGAAGGAUAGGUGGGAGACCAUUAAGCAGCUACGCCAGUAGUUGUGGAGUCGUCCUUGAAAUACCACCCUUGAAUAUUUGAAGUUCUAAAUCAGGAGAGAUUCGAGGACAGUGUAUGGUGGGUAGUUUGACUGGGGCGGUCUCCUCCUAAAGAGUAACUGAGGAGUACGAAGGUGCACUCGGUACGGUCGGAAAUCGUGCCAAGAGUAUAAAGGCAAAAGUGCGCUU
rnacentral:rRNA from 1 species